AGUGAACGCUGGCGGUAGGCCUAACACAUGCAAGUCGAACGGCAGCACAGUAAGAGCUUGCUCUUACGGGUGGCGAGUGGCGGACGGGUGAGGAAUACAUCGGAAUCUACUUUUUCGUGGGGGAUAACGUAGGGAAACUUACGCCAAUACCGCAUACGACCUACGGGUGAAAGCAGGGGAUCUUCGGACCUUGCGCGAUUGAAUGAGCCGAUGUCGGAUUAGCUAGUUGGCGGGGUAAAGGCCCACCAAGGCGACGAUCCGUAGCUGGUCUGAGAGGAUGACCAGCCACACUGGAACUGAGACACGGUCCAGACUCCUACGGGAGGCAGCAGUGGGGAAUAUUGGACAAUGGGCGCAAGCCUGAUCCAGCCAUACCGCGUGGGUGAAGAAGGCCUUCGGGUUGUAAAGCCCUUUUGUUGGGAAAGAAAAGCAGCAGGUUAAUACCCCGCUGUUCUGACGGUACCCAAAGAAUAAGCACCGGCUAACUUCGUG
rnacentral:rRNA from 1 species